rnacentral:lncRNA from 1 species
CUUGUCAUACUUCUGAAUCAAAUGAAGAUCCAGAACAAUUUAAAGAAAAGAUACUGUUUGAAAUUGAAAACGAAGUCUUGCAGAUUACUGCAACACCUACUUAUAGUCAAUCCACCAGUGAUGAACUGGUCACUGAUGACCACUUACUUACAGGAUGACAAAAUCAUCAUAGGAAUUUGUAUCAAAAAAUACCACCAAAAAAACUAUUUAAAUAAUUAUUAAUAGAAAUUGUAAACCAGAUUGGAGGCACUAAGCAGGUUCUGCUUUGACUAUAGCUUCUUUGGGUUUAUUUUAGUAGUCACAUUGGCUGGGAAUGUUUCCUUUUCCGUGGCUUUAGGAUAAGUUGAACUGGAGUGUAUGAGUUGUAAAAGCCUCACUAAUAGCCACAGAAGACAUCUUGUAUAGUCGUGCAGUAUGCAUUGUUAGAAUAAGCAUAAUAGUUGCAG